rnacentral:lncRNA from 1 species
UGAAUUUCCAGCCUUGUUAGCAAUCCCGGCUCGGGGUUCAUUGCUAACCAGAAGCCCCAACAGGUUGAAAUGCAUUCCAGGUGACUACCUCAUGAAGCUGGUUGAGAUAAUGCCAACCAAGGCAAAGGGUGGCUACUUAGAACAAUCUCAAAUAUAUUUUGAUUUGUUUGAAACUUUUUUGGUUACUAAAUUAUUCCAUAUGUGUUAUUUAAUAAUUUUGAUGUCUUCAAUAUUAUUCUACAAGGUAGAAAGUUGUAUAAAUAAAGAAAAACCUUGGAAUGAGUCGGUGCGUCUAAACUUUUGACUGGUACUGUAAAUGGAAAGAUCAUGUCAUAAAUGUUGAAAUAAAGUGUAAGAAGGUGCUGAAUCUUAUGAGCUCGGUCUCUGGUUAUGAAUGGGGUGCUGACAGACAAUCGUUGAAAGAUAUUUAUAGAGUUCGAAUCAGGAUGACAAUUGAUUACGGGUAAAUAGUUUAUGGAAAAGCGGCAACGACUUGGCUUUAGAAGCUGGACAGAAUCCAGUAUAUAGCUUUAAGGUGUCAUGACUCUCCUGGCUGAGGAUCCAAGGCCUCAUAUCAGCUUGGCAAAUGGCUGACGAUGACCAGACCCAUCUCACCCACAUAAGAGAAGAGAGGGGGGGCUGGGCCGGUUUUGACACCUUAAAACUCUGUCAAAAAUUCGAGGGAAAUCUCCCGCUUGCUCUUCAGUAUUGGGAAAGAAAUGUUCCUUUGUCUACGGAAGACCUUUGCCGCUAAGACUAUAACGUCCAAAAAGUAAACACUGGAACAAUAUUUCUAACAUCCGUCUUUUGGAAUGGUCAAUGGGG